rnacentral:lncRNA from 1 species
UCUCUUUGGAGACUUCUUGCAGACCUACAAACAAGCACACUUUCCAAUGGUGCUAUGAGCUGCCAGUGAUGUAUCACCACUGUAGCUCAUUAUUCUUUACUAAAUGUGAUAAUAAUGUGAUUUGUUAACAUAAAAAAGUUCGACUUCACAAGAGCAGCUGGAAACGGACAACCACAAUAUGCAUAAAUCUAACUCCUACCAUCGGCUACACACUGCUUGACACACAUUGUUAGAAGCACCUCGCAUUUGUGAAUUCUCUUAAGCAAAAUACUUGCAUUAGGUCUCAGCUGGGGCCAUGCAUCAGGCAGUUUGGGAAAUAUUCAACUCUCAGCAGAGGUCAGAAUUUAAAUUCUCUCCUUCUCUAGAAGUCAUUUACCAGGGUCAGCAAGGAUUCAGGCGGCCAGGUG